rnacentral:misc_RNA from 1 species
AAGUCGUAACAAGGUUUCCGUAGGUGAACCUGCGGAAGGAUCAUUAUUGAAUAAACCUGAUGUGGUUGUAGCUGGUUCUUUAGGGAGCAUGUGCACACCCGUCAUUUUUAUAUUUCCACCUGUGCACCUUUUGUAGACCCAGAAGAUUUCAUUGAAGUCGUUUGGGCCUAUGUUUAUCAUAUACCCCAUAGUAUGUAAUAGAAUGUAUUAGUGGGCUUCAUGCCUAUAAACACUAUACAACUUUCAGCAACGGAUCUCUUGGCUCUC